ACAUGCCUUACAAAGUCUCCCAGUGUCCUAUUCUAAAUUCUCCAAAGUUGAUUGUCAGAGAAAUGAAGUUCUGUUCAAGGGUUAUUGGAGCCUUUCUUCUCCAUAUUAGAACUGAACUUUCAUUCAGCUACCAAAACACAGAAGAUUGGAAGAUUAAAGGACCUGUUCCACAGAAAUCUGGGUCUGAGAUGGGGUUUGAAGUCAACUCUUACGAGACUUCAAAGCUUUUUCCACUGAACUCUUUGGCCUUCAUAAACCAAAAGGACUGUGUCAGAAAUAGUCUUCAAGAGCCUCUUUUUCAUCUUGAAGAACAAGUUGAUGGGAUUUAAGAAGAAGAGUUUGGAGUCACUGUGGUUUUGGUGGGCUUAUGACAUAGGUCUUGAAUUUUCUUCUCAAUUCAAACACACACGAAGAGUGUUUCUCUCUGAUCAUUGUUGAUCUUGAAAGAAGGAUGACAAACUGCCUGGUAAUAAAUAAGCCACAAAACUCAAAAGUAGUAACAACUCUCCAUGCUGUUUUUAAUAUCCUUGAUCAAUAACUAGAAUAAUAGUAGUCCCAUCUGACUAAUGCAUCUAUUUCAAAGCCACAGAUAGAUUUUCAGAGACCAAAGAAAAGAGGAGUACUUGUUGGAGGAGGUCAUUGAGAGGACAUGACUGUCAUUUGAUCCAUGAGCGGGACCUCGUCAAUCUGAGGCUUCUUACCUCCUGCCCUGUCCUUGGAAUGUAUGUUCUGCCCCGUGUUCCCACAGUGGGAGCCCUUUUCAAGGAUGCAGCCUUAAGAGACCAAUGUAUUGUUGAGACCAUCUGCAUGGUAUAUAUGACUAAACCCCACUAAUGCCUCUAUGUAAACUUCUAAGAUUCUGGCAGCUAGAUGCAGAGAUUUCAUCCUGUGGUACCCAUGUUAAGCCUGUGAUAUAAGUUUCCUUGCUUAUUAAACCCACCAGCUUACAGUCUGGAGUGGCCUGCCUCUUGAGUCUCUCCCUGCCCUUUGUGUAUGGAGCUGGUUUGUGAAGCAACAGUACUGCAAUUUUUCCCAUCUCUGCUAGGAGCUUCUACACAUGGAGCUUUCAUGACUCAUCCUUCAUGGGGAGGCAUCCUAGCUUCAUGAAUAGACUCAAUGGCUUAAACCCAGAUUUCUAUUUUUUCUUUCAUUGCUUUUAACUGGGCAUGUAACUUAACCUCUUUGUCUUCUUAAAUCUUUCCAUCCUGCUGGGAGGGACUGUGAGAGAAUUUUUACUGAGGCUUUUGUAAUCCGGAGAUGAAAUAUGCUAUGUAAAGCCACUACCAAGUUGUCAUUAAUCAUAACGAGGACUUAAGUCAGCUGUCAGUGUUGCAAGGAGGAGCAAGUCUAUAGGGUGAAGUGACAAUCCCUUCAGGAGCUCUACAACGCACAGAAUUUGCUGACACUCAUACUGCAGCUAGCCCAAGAGUGGAAAAUCGAGCUAAUGACUGCUGGGGAAGGGAAGGAUGUCGGCAGGCUGGGUCAGGGAACAAAGUCUUCAUUAAGGAAAGAAUAAUUUGAAAGAAUCUGAGUAACUGGAAACCUCUGUGAAGGUAGAGCUGCAGAAUCCUUCCUGUCUGUAUCUGGCCCUAAGAGAACCUGAAAGACAUUUGCAUGUAUGGACACGUGACAAGAGAAAACAGUUACUGCAGAGUCUCCUGGAAAGCUCACUGUAUCUUGACUUCUCACUCAGAUACAAAUUCUGCCCUGUUUCUUUAAAGUGUUUUGGACCUGGAACAUCAAAAGGGCUCAGUAAAUGUUACUCUUUUAUUUUGAAGCAGCAAAAUGCUGUUCACAUUGGUCACCACAGGCUUAAGGUUGAAGCACAUAACAUUGUCUCCACAAUGGGGCUAAAUGCAAAAUGGUGUGCCAAUCUGUCUCCACCUGAGCUGAUGAAAAAUACCUUGGCCUUUAUUUUUUUCACCAGAAAAAUAGCAGGAGGAUUCUGGAGCUCACUCAGUCUUAUCCUUGAAAACAGACUUGCUUCUAGUCCAGACUGUUUUUUGACCAUGGCCUCCAGAGAAAAAGUCAUUAUAGAGCUACGGUAGAACAUUCAUUCCCUGGACCUUUUUAUAGAAUUUACCGGGGCAAAGGUUUUUCUCGUCAAACCAGGUGAUUAGAAUGGGCACAGAAGAGGCUGGAAACUCUUCUCCAGACUGUGGCUGCACACACAUCAGAUUUUCACACUCUUUUGGGAAUUCCACUGCCAGUUAUGUGAAGGCCGGGGCAAUUGGAUGAACUUGUGUCUGUCAUUUAUUCUACUAGGAAAUAUUUACUAUGUGUUAGCCAUCACAGGAGACACACAGAAUGCCAAGAGCUGCGUUCUAAUUACCCUGCUAUACAACCAUGGUUGCCGAGGGAGUGUGGAGACAGGGAAAGAUACUUCAGAGCUCAUGCUAUAUUGACUGAGCAUCUACCAUGUGGUGGGU